CUUGACGACCAUAGCAAGGUGGUCCCACCCCUUCCCAUCCCGAACAGGACCGUGAAACGCCUUUGCGCCGAUGAUAGUUGAUUAACGUCUGUGAAAGUAGGUCAUCGUCAGGC
rnacentral:rRNA from 1 species